rnacentral:lncRNA from 1 species
UUUGUCUACAGACUGCACCCACAGACUCCAUCUCUUGGCACAUGAAGACGUUUCUGUGGGUGGUGGUUGAUGGUGUCUUGACGAGUUGGUGGUGGUUGAGUGGUCUCCUGUUCGGAGAAAAAGGUAAGUAAUAUUUUUUUGGUUUUCGGAUCCAUAGUUCCACUUUAUUUUUGGAUUAUCGUUUUCGCAGUUCAUAUCUAGUAUUUUAGACAAUGCAGUUCGGUAAUUUUAUGGAAUUGGAAAUUCGCAUUUGUUUUUUUGCAUUCCAAAAUCCAAAAUCUGUAAAUCUUCUAGAUUGGGAAAUUCGUAAGCCUUUCAGAUUGAAAAAUCCAUAAAUUUUCUGGAUUGGUGAGUUCAGUAAGCUUCCAGAUCCAUCAAUCUAUAACAAAAAAUAAGCUUUCGGAUCCAGCUAUCCGAUAAUCAACAAUUUAUUAACAAAUUGAUUAUGGAAAAUGAUUUCCUUACGGACUACCGUAUCCAAAAAUCACAUUUUCACUUCUGAAUUUAUCAAUCCGUAGCACACUCCUAGAUCGUGAUUCUCGGUAACCACAAAAACUCCAUAACCACCUAUGUUCUUAAAAAAAACUCAAUUUUUACCUUUAGAAGUCAAACAACAUUUUGACAACGCAACCCACUCCUCCACCUUACUUUUUCUCUUUUAGUAAUUUAAUUUUUGUGUUAAUAUUUAGGUGCUUCUUUUUGGUGUCUUCCUUUCUUGAAAAUCCUUAAUUUUUAAUUUUGAGUUUUUAAAAUUAUUAGGCGUAAGUUGUAACAAUUUCAAAUCUCUUGAGCUUAGCUUUCUUAAAUUUGAGUUUUUUUUUUUAAUAUUCUUAACCUCUUUUAUCUUUUAUAUCAUAAUUAAUAAUACUUUGGAACCAAGCUUUGAUAAAUGUAGAUUCUUUCCAAAUACCUACCCUUAACAUUAGUAACUCAAUUUUUUGUCUUUAUUAUUCGAUGAGCAAAUAUGGGUAAGUCUUUAGAGUUGUUGCAUCAAUUUCCUGAUUUUAGCCAAGUGUAUGAUGGCUUAGAAAUGAGAAUGGUCCUCCAUCAUCUACUGUUUUGAAUAUUUUUUAUAUUUUCCCGUUGAAAGACAACCUGACAUUAUAUAACCUUAUCUAUCCUACUAUCUUUUUGGACGUCUGAAUUUUUUAAUUUUUUUUAUGAAUUUUUUAUUUUUUUUUUAUGAAUUUUUUAAUUUAAUGGUUAAACAACAACUAUCAAUUAUGAAUGGGUAAGUUUUCUCACAUUUGCGACCCAAUAUUUUUGCCACAUCUAAAUCCAUAAAAUCUUGAGUAGUACGAUGACUUUCAUGGUUUGAAACCAUAAUUUUCUGUAUUAACCUUCAUAGAAAGUUAAGGAGUCUCAACUGCAAUAUUCGCCAAGUGUUUGGUUCUUCACUUCCACAAUUAUCAAAAAUUGAAUAAAAAAUACAUACUUAAAAUUACUUUUUAACUUAUUGCUAAGUUUAUUGGUUUCUUCUCCAAAAUACUUUUUAUGUUAUAAUUCCUUUUUAAAAACUACAAAGAAUCUUGAUUUUUAAUAUUUAAUUAUAUUUAUCUUUUAUAAUAACUUCAGUACAUAGAUGUAAUAGGAUAUCAUUUCAAGAGACAAUAUUUAGAUUUUUUUUUCCUGUGUAGUGUAAUUUAAAAUGAAAAUUUAGGAAAUGAGCAGAUUUUCUUUUAUGAAAAUGGAUAAAUAGUAUAUGGAUUAUACGAUUUAAUUAUAAGGAAAUCACCAAAAUGUAUAUUCGAGUUUUCAAAAAUAAAAGAACUCGUAUAAUAUACGAGUUCCGUUUAAAAUCGUAUUUAGCCAAUCGCUUUUAAUUAAAAUAAAAGAAUAUGAAGAAUUAAAAAAUAUGCAAAAUCGUAUAUACUAUUUCGAUUUUGAAAUGAAUCCGUAUAGCAAGUGGACGCUUUUAAAAUUAUUUUUUAUUAUAUAUAGUUAAAAAAUAGUUUUAUAAAAUAUUCCUUUUAUUAUAUAUAAUUAAAGAAUGGCUGAAUAGGAUUUUAUAAAAUACUUUAUUAUUAUAUAAUUAAAGAAUGAUUGAGUUAAUGGGUUUUUAAAAAAAUAUUUUUUUAUUAUAUAUAAUUAAAAAAAUAUAUAAUUUUUUUAUCUUUAAUAUAUUAAAAUUAUUUUAAUUUUUAAAAAAAAUUAAUGAUAUAAUAUUUUAAUAAUAUAAACAAAUAAUUUCAAGAAAAUGAUCAAACUAAAUGAUAAAGAAUUAAUUUGGUAAAAGUCUAAAUGUAAAAUGCUAAAAAUAAAUUGAAAACUUUAAUUAGAAAAUUAAAACUGAAAACGUUAACAAAAAAACAUGUUUAAAAAGAAUAUGAAAAUUUAAUAAAACACACAAACAUGACAACCUAAUUUAAAAAAUAAACAAUUUACAAAUGUAUGUUAAAAAUGAGUGAACUAUCUAUAAGAUCUUGUCCCACAUGAGGUUUUUUUUUUUGUCUCUGUGGACGUCUUGAUGGAGGUGGGCUAUCAUCGUCAUUAUUUUUUUCCUUCAUUGUUGUCAGAUGGAAUAUCAAACCCCAGUGAAGGCAUUGUGGACGGAUAAUAAUGCAUGGUAGGAACUAAACGAAAUGGAAAGGUGGUGUCAUUGUUGAAGUACCAAAUAUUUGUGAUGGACAUGGAGAAAAAAUAUUUCUCUGCGAUGCAAAAUUGGUGUAAGUUGAUGUCACUUGAUGGUAGGGAAAUUGGGCAAAUAUGUUGCGGUGGUGCUCAAUAAAGCUGAAUAUUUGUGGUGGUUGAUUGGGGGUCGAUUGAAAUUUUACUUGUCCAAAUUGUGCAACAUUACCCAACAUGAAGAGGGUGAACUUUGGAAUGGUGUGGUUAACUAUCGGGUGACAUGUUGUAUUGUUGUUUAAAAAAUAAUUAAUGUACUUUUUAAAAAAAUGACAAUAUGAAAUGAUUGAACUUACAUUGUCUUCAAACGUGGUCUUUAUAGGUGAGACGUAGCGAAUAGUAUGAGUGAUGUACCAUUGCAUGUAAGUUGAAUCAUCACACAAAUGGUCGUUUUUGUGGAAUGAUACUCCUUGAAUUAAAUGGUUUUGUCAAUUGUUCAAAUUUG